GGAGUAAUACCCAAAUUGGUGAAGGGAACGGUUUCGAAAACCGUCAGGUCGGCUAUGCGCUGGCGUUGGGGUUCGAGUCCCCAUUACUCCG
rnacentral:tRNA from 1 species